GCCUGUGAAGGCAACUGUCCCCAACAUCUGUCACCCUGAUCAUUGUAAGAUUUAAUCUGGUUGCACUGGCUGGCUAAGGUGGACCCUUCUCCCUUCACCAUUCUUGCACAUCCCUCCAGAAUUUUUGUCCUUGUCAAAAGGGACACCCUUCUGUGAUAGACAAGAACUCUCCUUUGGUCAUGGGUAUAUAAGUAAAUACAGUUCCCUGGUAGGGAAUCUCCAAAUACGUUCUGAAAGAAUAAUAAAUUUGAAAAUUAUUAGUGAGACUCAAAUUCUAACAAGGAAGCUAUAAUAGUGGAUAUAAAACAC
rfam:Cricetulus griseus cell line CHO-K1, whole genome shotgun sequence.